GAUGAACGCUGGCGGCGUGCUUAACACAUGCAAGUCGAGCGAGAAGUUUUGAAAAGAUUCUUCGGAUGAAAUUUAAAAUGGAAAGCGGCGGACGGGUGAGUAACGCGUAGGCAACCUGCCCCAUACAAAGGGAUAGCAUUUGGAAACGAAUAUUAAUACCUUAUGAAACUUAACUAGUGCAUGCUAGGUAGGUCAAAGAUUUAUCGGUAUGGGAUGGGCCUGCGUCUGAUUAGCUAGUUGGUGAGGUAACGGCUCACCAAGGCGACGAUCAGUAGCCGACCUGCGAGGGUGAACGGCCACAUUGGAACUGAGACACGGUCCAAACUCCUACGGGAGGCAGCAGUGGGGAAUAUUGCACAAUGGGGGAAACCCUGAUGCAGCAACGCCGCGUGAACGAUGAAGGCCUUUGGGUCGUAAAGUUCUGUUCUAGGUGAUGAAAACUGACAGUAACCUAGGAGAAAGCCCCGGCUAACUCCGUG
rnacentral:rRNA from 1 species